rnacentral:rRNA from 1 species
GACGAACGCUGGCGGCGUGCUUAACACAUGCAAGUCGAGCGGUAAGGCCCUUUCGGGGGUACGACGAGCGGCGAACGGGUGAGUAACACGUGGGUGACCUGCCCUUAGCUCUGGGAUAAGCCUGGGAAACUGGGUCUAAUACCGGAUAUGACUCCAUGACGCAUGUUGUGGGGUGGAAAGCCUUGUGCGGCUAGGGAUGGGCCCGCGGCCUAUCAGCUCGUUGGUGGGGUGAUGGCCUACCAAGGCGACGACGGGUAGCCGGCCUGAGAGGGCGACCGGCCACACUGGGACUGAGACACGGCCCAGACUCCUACGGGAGGCAGCAGUGGGGAAUCUUGCGCAAUGGGCGAAAGCCUGACGCAGCGACGCCGCGUGAGGGAUGACGGCCUGUGU